UGCAGUCGAACGAACUUCCGUUAAUUGAUUAUGACGUACUUGUACUGAUUGAGAUUUUAACACGAAGUGAGUGGCGAACGGGUGAGUAACACGUGGGUAACCUGCCCAGAAGUAGGGGAUAACACCUGGAAACAGAUGCUAAUACCGUAUAACAGAGAAAACCGCAUGGUUUUCUUUUAAAAGAUGGCUCUGCUAUCACUUCUGGAUGGACCCGCGGCGUAUUAGCUAGUUGGUGAGGUAAAGGCUCACCAAGGCAGUGAUACGUAGCCGACCUGAGAGGGUAAUCGGCCACAUUGGGACUGAGACACGGCCCAGACUCCUACGGGAGGCAGCAGUAGGGAAUCUUCCACAAUGGACGCAAGUCUGAUGGAGCAACGCCGCGUGAGUGAAGAAGGGUUUCGGCUCGUAAAGCUCUGUUGUUAAAGAAGAACGUGGGUAAGAGUAACUGUUUACCCAGUGACGGUAUUUAACCAGAAAGCCACGGCUAACUACGUGCCAGCAGCCGCGGUAAUACGUAGGUGGCAAGCGUUAUCCGGAUUUAUUGGGCGUAAAGCGAGCGCAGGCGGUCUUUUAAGUCUAAUGUGAAAGCCUUCGGCUCAACCGAAGAAGUGCAUUGGAAACUGGGAGACUUGAGUGCAGAAGAGGACAGUGGAACUCCAUGUGUAGCGGUGAAAUGCGUAGAUAUAUGGAAGAACACCAGUGGCGAAGGCGGCUGUCUGGUCUGCAACUGACGCUGAGGCUCGAAAGCAUGGGUAGCGAACAGGAUUAGAUAC
rnacentral:rRNA from 1 species